rnacentral:rRNA from 1 species
CACGUAGGGCGCGAGCGUUGUCCGGAAUUAUUGGGCGUAAAGAGCUCGUAGGCGGUCUGUCGCGUCUGCUGUGAAAACCCGAGGCUCAACCUCGGGCCUGCAGUGGGUACGGGCAGACUAGAGUGCGGUAGGGGAGAAUGGAACUCCUGGUGUAGCGGUGGAAUGCGCAGAUAUCAGGAAGAACACCGAUGGCGAAGGCAGUUCUCUGGGCCGUAACUGACGCUGAGGAGCGAAAGCGUGGGGAGCGAACAGG